AACGUGUUAGCUAAAUGGUAUAGUAUUGUGCUACGGACACAAAAGUUACAAGUUCGAAUCUUGUACGCGUUU